AAGGUAUUGUUCAAAACAGUAUAGCACAUCAACUGAACAUGUAGCACUGGAACAUAUGUAACUGUUAUUAAGCAGUGUGUUGUCAUCAUAAAAAACCAGUUUGAUAUAGAGUUUGUGUUGUCAACAAUCUCAACAAUGGAGUUGUUCGAGCAUGGAGCUUGGACCUGCUUCCAUCAUUUGGUAGUCAAAGCCAACAUGUCCACG
rnacentral:lncRNA from 1 species